CUCCAGAGGAAUCAAAAGAAGGAGGAAGAAUAGAAUGAUUUGGAGGAAAAGAAGGAGAAAGUAGAGGAGUUGAAAAAAAGGAAGAAAAAGAAAAAUGCAGAAUCCUUUGUCAAUCCAACAGAACACAGCAAAAAAGCAAAGAAAGUGAAAGGGUCUGGAGCAGAGUGGAUGUCCUCAUUAUUGCUUCUAGACCAGCGCUCUGGAAGUGUGGUCUACAGACCAGCAACA
rnacentral:lncRNA from 10 species